CCUACGGGUGGCAGCAGUGAGGAAUAUUGGUCAAUGGGCGCAAGCCUGAACCAGCCAAGUUGCGUGAGGGAUGACGGUCCUAUGGAUUGUAAACCUCUUUUGUCGGGGAGUAAGGCCCGCCACGUGUGGCGUGAAGGAGAGUACCCGAAGAAAAAGCAUCGGCUAACGCCGUGCCAGCAGCCGCGGUAAUAGGGAGGAUGCGAGCGUUAUCCGGAUUUAUUGGGUUUAAAGGGUGCGUAGGCGGAAGGUUAAGUCAGCGGUAAAAUGUCGGUGCUCAACACCGGCCUGCCGUUGAAACUGGUCUUCUUGAGUGAGCGAGAAGUAUGCGGAAUGCGUGGUGUAGCGGUGAAAUGCAUAGAUAGCACGAAGAACUCCGAUUGCGAAGGCAGCAUACCGGCGCGCAACUGACGCUGAGGCACGAAGGCGUGGGGAUCGAACAGGAUUAGAUACCCCAGUAGUC
rnacentral:rRNA from 1 species